UUGUUAGUUUGGGCUAUAAGGAUUUAAGAUUUAAUUAUGGUCUGAGUUUGGUUAAAAUGAUGUUAUCUAAUUUUGAUUCAUUGAGUGGGCAAUGAUUGUUAACCCCGGCAAGAUGGCACUUGUAUAUGACUUGUUCCAGAAUAAUCGGCUAGACAAGUUAAGUUGGGACUCUAAUUGUGUUUAAAUUGAGCUGUGAAUUCUGACUAAAUUUAAAACUCUAGGGUGAAAUUGGGAAUUAUUAUAAGAUUUAGUUUAAUUUGUGAGAUUUUGUUAAUGAACCAGAUUAGUACCUGGGUAAAUGAGAUUAAUUAAUGCAGGAGUAAAGUAAUGUUUAAACUGAAAUAAUAUUGGCAGGUUUUUAAAUUAUCUUUGAAGGUUGGACUGUGAUUGAGAGCCCUCAUUUGCGGCUUUAAUUUUGAUCUUAUGUAUGAUCGUUUUUCUUAUUCUUAGGGAUUAUGAGGUUAAAAUGUUUAUUGUAAAAAUAGAUAUUUAUUUAGUAUAUAUUAGAGUUUGCUCUGACCUACAAUAUUUAAUGAUGUGGAUCAGAAAAUUGAGAAGUUUUUGUGAAAAUGUAAAAGACAGUAAGUUAUUUUUAAUGGAUGGCUGAAGAUUUAUUUAGAAACGGUACAAAUCAUCCAUCAAUUGCCCAAAGGGGAGUAAGUUGUAGUAAAGUAGGACUAGGGGAACCUGGCCCUAGUAAAUA
rnacentral:ncRNA from 1 species